rnacentral:rRNA from 1 species
CUGGUGUUCGGGUUGUCAUGCCAAUGGCACUGCCCGGUAGCUAAAUGCGGAAGAGAUAAGUGCUGAAAGCAUCUAAGCACGAAACUUGCCCCGAGAUGAGUUCUCCCUGACUCCUUGAGAGUCCUGAAGGAACGUUGAAGACGACGACGUUGAUAGGCCGGGUGUGUAAGCGCAGCGAUGCGUUGAGCUAACCGGUACUAAUGAACCGUGAGGCUUAACCUUACAACGCCGAAG